UCGAGCCGGAGAUAUCCCGGUAUCCGUCGAGCGGCUUCGAGUUGCUCCGAUUCGUAGGCGGCUUCGAAGGCCGCCGGAUCGGU
rnacentral:tRNA from 2 species